AGCGGCGGACGGGUGAGUAACGCGUGGGAAUGUGCCCUUCUCUACGGAAUAGCCCUGGGAAACUGGGAGUAAUACCGUAUACGCCCUAUUGGGAAAGAUUUAUCGGAGAAGGAUCAGCCCGCGUUGGAUUAGGUAGUUGGUGGGGUAAUGGCCUACCAAGCCGACGAUCCAUAGCUGGUUUGAGAGGAUGAUCAGCCACACUGGGACUGAGACACGGCCCAGACUCCUACGGGAGGCAGCAGUGGGGAAUCUUAGACAAUGGGGGCAACCCUGAUCUAGCCAUGCCGCGUGAGUGAUGAAGGCCUUAGGGUUGUAAAGCUCUUUCAGCUGGGAAGAUAAUGACGGUACCAGCAGAAGAAGCCCCGGCUAACUCCGUGCCAGCAGCCGCGGUAAUACGGAGGGGGCUAGCGUUGUUCGGAAUUACUGGGCGUAAAGCGCACGUAGGCGGACCGGAAAGUCAGAGGUGAAAUCCCAGGGCUCAACCUUGGAACUGCCUUUGAAACUAUCGGUCUGGAGUUCGAGAGAGGUGAGUGGAAUUCCGAGUGUAGAGGUGAAAUUCGUAGAUAUUCGGAGGAACACCAGUGGCGAAGGCGGCUCACUGGCUCGAUACUGA
rnacentral:rRNA from 1 species